rnacentral:rRNA from 1 species
UACGAAGGGGGCUAGCGUUGCUCGGAAUCACUGGGCGUAAAGCGCACGUAGGCGGAUCUUUAAGUCAGGGGUGAAAUCCUGGAGCUCAACUCCAGAACUGCCUUUGAUACUGGGGAUCUCGAGUCCGGGAGAGGUGAGUGGAACUCCGAGUGUAGAGGUGAAAUUCGUAGAUAUUCGCAAGAACACCAGUGGCGAAGGCGGCUCACUGGCCCGAUACUGACGCUGAGGCACGAAAGCGUGGGGAGCAAACAGG